UGGGGAAUAUUGGACAAUGGGCGCAAGCCUGAUCCAGCCAUGUCGCGUGAGUGAUGAAGGCCCUAGGGUUGUAAAGCUCUUUCAGCGAGGAGGAUAAUGACGUUACUCGCAGAAGAAGCCCCGGCUAACUUCGUGCCAGCAGCCGCGGUAAUACGAAGGGGGGCUAGCGUUGUUCGGAAAUCACUGGGCGUAAAGCGCACGUAGGCGGACUUUUAAGUCAGGGGUGAAAUCCCGGGGCUCAACCUCGGAACUGCCUUUGAUACUGGAAGUCUGGAGUCCGAGAGAGGUGAGUGGAACUCCGAGUGUAGAGGUGAAAAUUCGUAGAUAUUCGGAAGAACACCAGUGGGCGAAGGCGGCUCACUGGCUCGGUACUGACGCUGAGGUGCGAAAAGCGUGGGGAGCAAAACAGGAUUAGAUACCCUGGUAGUCCACGCCGUAAACGAUGGAAGCUAGCCGUCAGGGUGCAUGCAUCUUGGUGGCGCAGUUAACGAUUAAGCUUCCCGCCUGGGGAGUACGGUCGCAAGAUUAAAACUCAAAUGAAUUGACGGGGGUCAUAGCUGUUUUCCCU
rnacentral:rRNA from 1 species